UCGUCGAGGAUCUGCGGGCAGAUGAAGUGCACGUGGCAGUCGAUGGCCCCGGCGGUGACGAUGCGGCCGUUGCCCGCGAUGAUCUCGGUCGAGGGCCCGACCACCAGGUCCGGAUGCACUCCGUUCAUGGUGUCCGGGUUGCCCGCCUUGCCGAUGGCGGUGAUGCGGCCGUCGCGAAUCCCGAUGUCGGCCUUGAUGAUUCCCCAGUGGUCCACGAUCACCACGCCGGUGAUGACGGUGUCCGGGGUGCCCUCGGCGCGGGUGGCGCGGGCCUGGCCCAUGGAUUCGCGCAG
rfam:Nocardia seriolae N-2927 DNA, contig: contig00089.